rnacentral:tRNA from 1 species
GCGGGUGUAGUUUAGUGGGAAAACGUUUCCUUGCCAAGGAAAAAAGCGUGGGUUCGAUCCCCAUCACCCGCU